rnacentral:rRNA from 1 species
UACGUAGGCAGCGAGCGUUGUUCGGAAUUACUGGGCGUAAAGAGUGUGUAGGCGGUGCUCUAAGUUCGGUGUGAAAUCUCCUGGCUCAACUGGGAGGGUGCGCCGGAAACUGGAGUGCUUGAGCGUGGGAGAGGAAAGCGGAAUUCCUGGUGUAGCGGUGAAAUGCGCAGAUAUCAGGAGGAACACCGAUGGCGAAGGCAGGUCUCUGGGCCACUACUGACGCUGAGAAGCGAAAGCAUGGGGAGCGAACAGG